UGAAACUGGCAAAAUACAAGGAUAAAGAGAGAAUUCUGAAAGCAGCUAGGGAUAAACAGGCCCUAACAUACAAAUGUAGACACAUAAGGGUGGUAGCAGACAUAUCUACUGAAACUUGGCAGGCCAGAAAGGAAAGGCAGGAAAUCUUCAAUGUGCUGAAGGGAAAAAAUAUGCAGC